UUACGGUCAUAUCCCGUUGAACUACCGGUUCAGGUACAAUCAACGCAGUUAAGCAAUGUCGGUCCUGGCCAGUACCUAGAUGGGUGACCGUUUGAGAAUAUCAGGUGCUGUAAG